rnacentral:lncRNA from 1 species
CAUUUUCUUUGAUUCGCUGCCAACAUGCCAGCACAGCACUUCCUUCUUUUCCCAACCUUUACCAUAACCCUGCAGCGAGGAAAGGGUGCUCAUGUGCAAAGCACUCACCCAAGUCUCUCAGUGGGGAUUCUUGCAGCUGAAGCUUUAGUGCAGAAUGGCAAAGCAGGGGAAUGGGGCAGGGACACCCAGCUGCUGAUUUCCCUCUGCAUUGAGCACUGGGAACGCAGUGGGAGAGAACAGCACCUCCUGCCACCCCAUGGACUGUAAAAAUUCCAUCUUAUCCAUUUAUUUCAGGUGCAGUGUGACUAAAAAGCCCCUUCCCUGUCCAUCUCUGUGUUCCCUCUGCACAACACGGAUCAUGCCCACUGAUGCAGGCACACAGCAUCCCUGUCUGGCCAGGCUGCCCCAGCUACAUCAGUACCCAGAGCUACAGAUACGGAGGAAAAGCGAUUGCAAAGCAGAAAGGACCGUUUUGGGGGUACAUUUGGCAGCGAAAUCAGUGCUCAGGAUGGAACCAGUGGGGCAGCCUCCCUGCGAUGCUCUCCAGGCACCAAUCCCUGCACCAGCCCUUCCUACACCGUCCCCACACUCACAGCAAAGACUUUUAUUUUCGUACAUCGAAAAAGAAAAUGUACAACGGCUUGAGAAGCCCCUUUAAAGAGUAAAAAUCUAACAGCAUAAAUCCGGAGCAUCGUAACAAAAUCCGACUUCUGGUUAAAAACUAAAAGGAUUUUGCAAUUAUUUCUUUUCGUUUGUGAAAUAACGAAACCCUCACGAAUAUUCCGGGUAGAUGAGAAGUCGUUCGCCGUUUUAUCUCACAGCGGUCGCACAACGAACUGAGAUUCCGAGGGAGGUGAGAGCGCUCGGCCCGAUGUAACUAUCAAAUAUCCCCCAAAGAUUUAAAGCAAACCACACGUGGCUGCUCCUCUCGCUGCCCCGCUGCCCGCAGCCAUCGGUGCGGGACGGAGAACCGCAGCUCUUUCGCAGCGUCAUUAAACAUUCGUUAAAACAUUUACUCGAUGGUCCGUGACGAAGCGCUGGAGCUGCGGGCGCACGCAACGACUCCAUCGGACGGUUCUGCGGUGCAAAACCAUCGCAUUUAGAGCCUCGCAGCCCUCAGUCCCCUCUCAUCGCAUCUCUUUCAGGCAGAUGCUGGAGCUGGAAGGGCUGCAGCUUACCCCGCUUUCUGCCGUCGGUUCUGGGCGUUCCGAUUUCGGGUUUCCCUCUCGGCUCGGAGCGCAGUGCCCGGCCCGUGGCAUCAGAGCCCGAGGGAUGGAUGGGGAAAGCGACGUGAGCCGGCAGCUCGCAGCGAGGUCUGUAAGUCCUUGUAUGGCAGAAAUAAACGUAUUACACGGUUAUUAGUAAUUUGGCGC